GGCGAACCGAGCGAACGUUGUUCGGAAUCACUGGGCUUAAAGGGUGCGUAGGCGGGCUGCCAAGUUUGAGGUGAAAUCCUCCGGCUCAACCGGGGAAGUGCCUUGAAUACUGGCGGUCUGGAGGGAGGUAGGGGCGUGCGGAACUAACGGUGGAGCGGUGAAAUGCGUUGAUAUCGUUAGGAACUCCGGUGGCGAAGGCGGCACGCUAGACCUCUUCUGACGCUGAGGCACGAAAGCCAGGGGAGCGAACGGG
rnacentral:rRNA from 1 species